AACUUUUAGCAACGGAUCUCUUGGCUCUCGCAUCGAUGAAGAACGCAGCGAAAUGCGAUAAGUAAUGUGAAUUGCAGAAUUCAGUGAAUCAUCGAAUCUUUGAACGCACCUUGCGCCCCUUGGUAUUCCGAGGGGCAUGCCU
rnacentral:rRNA from 1 species